AAGGAGGAACCCAAGCCAGUUUAUAUAAGCCAGCAACUUCUCUACCAAGAUCCAGAGGCCUCAUCAGAGAAGGGUCCUGUAUCAUGUGUAGUAAGCAUGAAUGUUCAGUGAAUAUAACUAUACAAUGUAACUGCUUCACUAACUUGUGGACAGAAAUCAAGUUGUGUUUAAAAGAAGGAACUAGCAGUACAUUGUGAAGGG
rnacentral:lncRNA from 1 species